GUAGGGCCCAGUUCAAGUGCCACUUGCUGUAUUGCCACUUGCCAAUUUCUGUGCAGGAGGGUAUAUGGGCUGCUAGCUAUUCGGGAGUACAGAAUCUCUGAGUGGUUCCUGUUACCAAGGUCAACUGACAAUGCAUCAAUCCCCUCAAGAGAAAAAAAAAUUAGUGGCUAAUAAAUGCAAAGGGCUGGUCUAGUACAGUGAGAAUCAAGAAUCUCCUCGGCUAGUCAGUAGCAGGGGACCCUGCCGCUACUGCAAGACCGGCGGUGGGCACUGGAGAAGGUGUCUGAGGCCACAAGCAAAGACCCAGAGGCUGAAGCAGCCCAAGGGAGCCGGGCUGAAGCUGAACGGCUGGCCUGCAGAGGGAGAAGGAGUUCAUGGCCAGGGCAGCUGCAGCACUGAAGCACAGAAGCAGACCCAGGAGGAGAGGACGGUCCUGCAGCCCAUUUCUAGCACAAGGAUGAAAUCUUGGAUAACCUCCUGGCCUUGGUCUGGAACAUCUGGCCAGAAAUCCAUGAAAACUACCACACAAAUGGAUACAAGAGGAGUCCCUUUUCCACGGGCUGCUAUUUUAGAUGCUUCAUGGAAUACGUAGCUUUAGCAAAGCCCCAGUUACAUUCUUAUGAAAAGCCAUUAAAUUAUUUCUGUGUAUUA